CUAGGACCUCAACCAAAGGGCGGCGUUAGGACAUCAGUUGGGGUCGCUUCGAGUGCGCCCAUUAGCUCAGCCUUGGACUUCGUCAAUCUCAUGUUCCUCUGCAGCGACUAGAAAAUGAUAUGCGGCCUUGUUGUGCGGCCAGUCACUGCUAGGUAGCCGCAGGGCGAUAGGCAAGGAGUGCGCGAGAACCACGACAAGUGCGCGUUGAUCCAUGUCCGAAGCGUCAGCAUGAUUGUCCACUUUCGCUGUCAACGAGGUCCUUGGUCAUGGCCACCGACGAUUAGACGCCGCAUUUAGCGUGAAGUCCCUGCAGCAGCCGAAUCUUUGCCUACCCUUCCCGAAUGUCGACCGACAGCGGAAGCGGUUGCCUUGCCUAGAGGCUCAAGGGCGAGCGUUGCUGGGGGCCACCAGCGCAGUCUCCCGCAGUCACUGCAGUGUCCCGUUUCCGUGAUCGAGGCGACACAAACUGGCGACACUUUUUUGAACUUUUUAUUACAAACUAUACUCUGCAUCUGAUAUCACUGCACAGUGGAGUGCAAAAGAACUGCUUGAGGUUAUGCCUGCCUGCACAAGGUGCACUACUUGUGAUGCUAACACGAAGGCUUGGAAGUUUCUGCUGUGAAGCUGCGAGUCGCUGCCGCUCGAGCAGUGAUGCUGCUUUAUCUGUUAUCUGUACGCAGUGCAAGUCCGUAUAUCUUGCCGAUACAUAUCGUUUCGAGGGCGCUGACUUGCGGCCAUCGUGCACAAUACGUGUUCAUUUAGAGAGUGUAUGCAGCGCCACGGUUUUUUCCACCACAUAUGAAGUGAUCAGCGAUGAAUUGCUCUCUUGGACAUUAAGUUGCUAACAGGUUCUUCGUUUUCUGUAGCUGUAUUAUGAUUUAGCAUUAUCCUAGAGAGAGAGAAAAAAAAACGCUCAGCACGGUGUGAACAAGAUUGAAUAUGGCGGACAUGGUUUAUUUGGCGCACUUAGCAUUUCAUACGGUGCACGGGUCCCACACGAAGUAAGCUAUCAUGACGCUGCGGCCACGUGCUAUAUGUGAAGCAUAUUCCGGUAAUGAUUAAAUUUCUGCGGACUAUCAAAGUUUCGUAGGCGCAGUUCUCCAUAACGGAUUACUUUACAACUUUGUUCUUGAUUUACAGAGGGUAAAAAAAAAAAAAAAAACAUUUGUCGCGAUUUCGAGCUCCUGCUGCGUGUUUGAAAGCAGGGGUAGCUUCACGCUACUAGAUUGCUUGACGGGUCAAACAGAGAAAUACAGUAUUUUUUGUCGCAACAAUAUGAAAUAGCUCGAUAGACAUAGAUAUGUAGGUUUUAUCAGUUAGGCAAACUCAAAAAGCAGUGCAGGUCACCUGAAAGUAGCACAAGCAUAAAGGUCAUCGUCGCAUCUCUGCUCUCCGGCUAUCAUCUGUUGUCGUCGGCGCUGCAUUUAGAUUGUAGGCCUCGAUACAGGUACAUAUAGUGCACUUGCGCAAAUUACGCUGAGCCAUUGACUCACUAGCGGAAAGAUGCCCCAUGCCAAGACACUCGUGAUAAGGCGCACCUUCACUAUAAACGGUCUCUACGACCACCAGAUUUUCUAUCACCGCAUUGCCAAGACAGUAGUGAUGUUAGCAUGAAUUUCACACAUCGCCCUUCGAUCACCGCGAAUAGAACUUAGAGAGGUUAGUACUUCUGUUCAGCACUUGCUUAUGCUACCACAAGUAGCUCAGUCACCGAUUAUACGAUCAUCUCACGGUACCACGGAGAACUAUUCUUCGAGCCAGCUUGCUCAAACUUCUUCCAAUGGGUUAAAACAUCGGAUUUCAAAAUCAAAACGUAUUUCCAAGAAGCACCGAGAAGUUACUAGCUCUAUUCAAGUAUGAAGGAUUAGGCACGCGUCGUGCAAAGAUAUUAGAGUGCCGGCAACUCCAUUAUGCGGCAACUGUUUGUUCCACGUUUAACUGCAUUUUCGAACAUUAUUAUGUUUUUUUCUGCUAGCGUACGAACAGGGGCCACGUAUACCUUUUAGACUUAAGAACUCAGUAACGAUUCAUAUAACUGUGGAGAAUGCUCAGAGCGCACGCCAGGCUCUGAGCACAUGCCCGCACCCCUUCCCACUAUGUCGCCUGGCUGCCACAACUCCAACACAGAACUUCUUUCCGUAUGACAAUAUCUGCUUCUCGUAUCUGCUUUCCUACAGAUUAUACGCCUGCAAAGAGAUUACCACUUCUUCCUUGGUAGUUUGCUCACAGCCAUAAGUGUCAGGUGUGGAGGCGACGACGAGAGGGAGAUUAGGCGGCAACGUUUUAUGACGACCGGCCAGCCAUAAUGGCGAUUGGUCCCGGGCGCGGUACUUCAACGCCACCGCUCAGACCGGGCGUGCUUUCGUGUUAUCCGUGUGCGAAAUCUACACGCGGCGCUGUUCUUGCUCGGUGAUGCUGUGGUCGAUUGUAGCGCUGCCCGCCACACAGAGAUAAGUAUAAUUCUCAUCACCGGCUUUGAAGUAAAUUAAGCGGUUUUACGUGUCAAAAUCACCAUCUGAUUAUGAGGCGUCCGGUAGGGACAGACUCCGGAGUAAUUCGGACAACAUGAGGUUCUUUAACGUGCACCUAAUUCUAAGUACGCAGGUGUUUUCGCAUUUCGCCCCCAUCGAAAUGCGGCCGCCAUGGCCGGGAUUCGAUGUGCCGACCUCGUGCUUAGCAGGCUCUGGAGUAGCUGUCUUUGUUCCUACUUUACAAUUCCUGCAAAAUUCAUCUUACACUGAUAGUUAAACCACACCGGCGAUCUAUAGCAUAUAUGUAAUGUUCCAUUCAAAAACAACCACCAUAAAAGGGUGGAAGCUUGGGCGCGUUGGUAAUGGUAGUUCACGGUGGUGUUUUCUGCAGAGCAUGUGUGACUUUAGGACCUAAAGUACAGAGAAAGAGCGCUGACAUCCAACUGACUUUUAUUUCCCAGAAGAGCAGUAUAUAUAUAGGUGACUAAAACCAGGUAUAAAAAAAGACGAGCCAGUUCGCCUAUAGCACGGGCCCAUGAUUUACCCUCAACCCGGUCAACUAAUCACGGUCAAGUCGUGAUUCCCUUCUUGAUCAGUGCGUUGUACUGGCAAGGCACAGGUCCCAGUACUAGAAGCAGAACCAAUCUACAUUCUCGGUGACUGCUGCGUAAGCAUCCCUUCUAUAGCACUAUGACACCAAUCACGCCGCUUCCCAUUCUGAAUGGAGACGACUGUUCUUUGGUGACUGCGUAGCUUUUAUCCACUCUUUUGCUUACCCAUCGGAACGGCCGACAGUGCUUCGGUGACAACUGCGAUAGAAAUAAAAAAAAAAUUAAACUAUGGGGUUUUACGUGCCAAAACCACUUUCCGAUUAUGAGGCACGCCGUAGUGGAGGACUCAGGAAAUUUCGACCACCUGGGGUUCUUUAACGUGCACCUAAAUCUAACUACGCGGGUGUUUUCGCAUUUCGCCCCCAUCGAAAUGCGGCCGCCGUGGCCGGGUUUCGAUACCACGGCCUCGUGCUCAGCAGCUCAACACCAUAGCCACUGAGCAACCACGGCGAGUCAUGGAAAUGAAACCAUCAAGCUCGUUUUUUGCCGUUAUCCUCACUACGGCGCACAAAGACGGUCCCGCGCGACCAUGCUAGCGCGUCUAGAUGACUGGCGCUUUCGGAGCAGACGAUUUUGGACAUCUAGACAGCGCGGUCGUCACCCCAGAAGACGACGAAAGCGCUACUGGGCCUCCUGCUUCAAGUGACUUAGACGACUUUAACAGUUCCGUACUUUCAGUCGUGCUUGUGUUUUCUUUCUCCGCAUUAUUUUUCAUUUUUUGCUGCCUUUCCUUAUCUCUCCCUUAGUGUAGGGUAGCAAACUGGACUUUUCCCUUCCGGUUAAAGGGGUUGGGACACCAAAUUUUGAGGCUAUAAAAAGUAUGUUGUAGGCUGCUUCCGUAUGCAAGGACACCCAGAACGAGGUAUUGGACGCUGCAAACAUUUCAAAAUAAUUUUAAUUCAGCUCCAAAAAGUCAUUAAAAACUCCUCGUAGUCGAGACCCAUCGCUAGCGCGGCAGUUACUACGUCACAGAGGAGGAACGGAAAUAUUGACGUCAUAGCACACUAGCACAAAAACGUGACGUAUGAUGAGUAGCGAUGAAAUGCCGAUUACGGAGCCUGCUGAGCCGAGCGACCGAGGACCGAGCAUAGCCUCCACUAUGACCGAGCUACAGGCAUAUAGAAAUCCUUUCUUAAUGCAAAGAAGGGGUAAGGCGUGCAGGCACGGACACAAGAGGGGAGAAGUGGACAACACGAACGCCGCACGGCGGCCCGCGAACGGCAAACUGUGUGCGGCGAGUUGCCACACGUUUGAGUGUAACACUAGCCGGCCGACUCCGAAAGGGACCAGGAUAUAUGCGGCGUUCGUGUUGUCCGCUUCUCUCCUCGCAUAGUCGCAUAGUUCGGCAGCUCGGAGCCGUCUCUCGUUCGCUUGGCCUUUCUCAAUGUGAGGGCCUGUCCACGUUACCGGCACGGAAACUCGCCGCACGCCGUUUGCGGGCCCCCGUGCGACGGCGGUUUUGCUCGCGAACGGCGAGAUUUCCUUGCCGUAGAGAGGACGGGCCCGGGACCCAUUUGUGCGGCAGCCGUACGGCGAAGCGGCCAAUCAGCGACCGAGGAGUGGUCACUCUGGCACCGACGGCAGCUUCACCGCCUCUGAUCGUUCGGCGCCGCCGAUAUCGUCGCUAGGCCUUUUCCGGUUCACUUCAAAGCUAAAGCUUACGGCGCUUCGGAAUGAAUCACCGACUCUCACAAGCCGCAACAUUUUCUUACCGUUGUUGUCGCUCUUCGCAAUAAUUAUAAUAAUCGCGGCAUGCACUUCGAAUCGCCAGUUGUUGACCUUUGCUGGCAGAGCACGCGUAUGCGCGAGCCGACGACGCAGCAUAGUUUUACGUCACUAUUUUUUGUGGCCCACGUGACCAAGCCCUGUUGCGUUUCCUCCUCUGUGACGUCAUAGCAUCCCCCAGAGCCCAGAAACCGAAACCGAAAUCGCUCGGUAUAAUAACGCUAUUAUUAAAUUAUUUAUCGGAUAUAUAUGAAUCCCGCUGUGUGUAUCGUGCUCCCUGAAGCAUGACGCAACGUUUGAAUCAACAAACGCAUGAACGAAAAUUUUGAUGUCUCCACCCCUUUAACCUCUGUAUCGUUCCCAUCUCACUUAUCUGCCUCCCUCUCGAAAAAUGGAGUUAAGUGUGGGGUACUGCCACGAGAGGAGUUGCUGUCUCGUCGAAUGACUAUUGUAUGAACCGGCGUCUAGCUGCCAAGGUAAAGCAGGAACGUGCACUCGUGCACAUAUUUACGCCACCGGUGACACUGCUGGUGUCUACAGCGUGCAGCGUCGUGUGUAAAGCAAAACUGCACUAAUUCAGGACCGCCCUGGCUCAGUGCGAACACCACCUUGCCGCCCUCUUACCCUUCAGAGAGAAGCAAGUGUUAUCACCUAUCAUUUUACCAUUAUUACACCAUGGCCGUGGCCCCAUAUUUCUUUCUAGUUAAAAAAAGGAGGUAUAUACCGCACAGCUUUGAAAAAGCGCUCUGCUGUACCCGACAGUUUUGGCAUUAAUUACCUGGUCACUCGCCGGUGCGGGUUAGUAGCUAUGAGGAUGUGCUGCCGAGCAAGCCGUCAAGCGUUCGAAUGGCUGGUGGCCGCAUUUUGAUAAAUGCGAAAUGCUAAAUACAAUAGGGGGAUGGGAUGGGGGAGGGAUGCUUUUCUACAGAGCAUUCGGAGCACGUUAAAAAAAAUCUUAGGCAGUGAAAAUAAUUCCGGAGCCCUUCAUAAUACCUUAGCCCCCUGGGCUGCGUUGGGAUGUUGAGCCUUGCGAAUGGCUCAUGAAUAUUACGUGGUGUUGUCGAAAAGCGGGCAUUGCACACACGGAGAAUCGUUUCGCGUAAUUUUGGUAGCAUGGAAAUGUAUAGAAAUCCGAGAAUGAGGAAAUAGAUACACUGGAGAACGCAGUCUGUGUUGUUUCGGCUAGAGGGAAAACACCCUUCUACAGAUGUCUACGCGUCUGAAAUGGUGCGGCUCGUCUAUCGCUGACUACACGUUUCUCGACUAGCUGCGCUAUGCGGUUCAGCUUUGGCUGGGCUCACUACGGCUUAAUUUCUUCGACGGAGGACUCGCCUAUACCGUGUCCCCAGAGUCUCGCAUAACUGUAGCUUCGCUGCAUUCCGGUCGGCGAAUUCUCGGCUGGCUCCGCAUUUCCCGAGGAAGAACACACGCUCUCCUGGCCUUUCGCAGAGAGCUUUAGCAGGCCCCUACGAGCAGAAGACUGAUGCGCCGUAGUUUCUCGCGAGUGUAACCGGUCUACAAUGGGUUUAAAAACUCCAUUGCUUAUGGUCAAAGUGCGGUGCACACGACAACAGAGAGAGAGUUGGCCCACGCGUGGCCUACGAAACUCUCAGCUCAGCCGUGGCAAGAAUAUUGAAUAAAAUGUAUAAGCACUGUAGCACACUUCAAAAAAAAAGAAAA